UACGUAGGGGGGCAAGCGUUGUCCGGAUUUAUUGGGCGUAAAGAGCGUGUAGGCGGUCAGAUAGGUCCGUUGUGAAAACUCGAGGCUCAACCUCGAGACGCCGAUGGAAACCAUCUGACUAGAGUCCGGAAGAGGAGAGUGGAAUUCCUGGUGUAGCGGUGAAAUGCGUAGAUAUCAGGAGGAACACCUGUGGUGUAGACAGCUUACUGGACCACUUCUGACGCUGAGACACGAAAGCGUGGGUAGCAAACAGG
rnacentral:rRNA from 1 species